ACGGGGUGCAGCAGGCGCGAAAACUUCACACUGCGCGAAAGCGCGAUGAGGGAAUCCCAAGUGCUUGCACGUAAGUGUAAGCUGUUUCUAUGUCUAAAACGCAUAGAGAGUAAGAGCUGGGUAAGACGGGUGCCAGCCGCCGCGGUAAUACCUGCAGCUCAAGUGGUGGCCGUUAUUAUUGGGCCUAAAACGUCCGUAGCCGGUUUAUUAAAUGCCUGGGUAAAUCGGGCCGCUUAACGGUUCGAAUUCCGGGUAGACUGAUAGACUUGGGACCGGGAGAGGCUAGAGGUACUCCUGGGGUAGAGGUGAAAUUCUGUAAUCCUAGGGGGACCACCAGUGGCGAAGGCGUCUAGCUAGAACGGGUCUGACGGUGAGGGACGAGGCCCUGGGGCGCAAACCGGAUUAGAUACCCGGGUAGUCCAGGGUGUAAACGCUGCUUGCUUGAUGUUAGUCGGGCUCCGAGCCCGAUUAGUGUCGGAGAGAAGUUGUUAAGCAAGCUGCCUGGGAAGUACGGCCGCAAGACUGAAACUUAAAGGAAUUGGCGGGGGAGCAC
rnacentral:rRNA from 1 species